rnacentral:rRNA from 1 species
CAUGUCUUUUUGAUGAUAAUUUAAAGUCUAAUCUGCUCCAUGAAAAUUUUAAAUAGCUGCAGGAAUUUUACUGUACAAAGGUAGCAUAAUCAAUAGUUUUUUAAUUGAAAGCUGGAAUGAAGGAUUUGAUAAGGUAAAUAUUGUCUCAAAUUUAAUAAAAUUAUAAUUUUUUUUUAUGUAAAAAAACAUAAUUAAUUUUAAAAGACGAGAAGACCCUAUAGAUUUUUAUAUAAUAAAUAUAUUAAAAAUAUUAAAAAAAAUUAUAAUUUUUAAUAAAGUUUUAUAUUUAGUUGGGGAAAUUAUUAAAUUAAUAAAAUUUUAAUAAAAUAUAAACAAUGAUGAUUGAUUUUAUGAUCUUAAAUUUUAGAUUAAUAGAAUAAAAUACCUUAGGGAUAACAGCGUAAUUUUUUUUGAGAGAUCUUAUUAAUAAAAGAGUUUGCGACCUCGAUGUUGAAUUAAGAUAAAAUUUUAAUGCAGGAGUUAAAAAUUUUUGGUCUGUUCGACCAUUAAAAUCUUACGUGA